GAAAAUAUAGAAUAUUAGAAUAAAAAAAAAGAAAAUAAUAAACAGAGUGUUCUUAUUCAAAACGCCCUGUGAUCUUCAACCAAUUCUGUGCUUCAAUAUAAUUCCCAGGGGUAAGGGCUAUAGCUUGUUUCCAAUAUUCAGCGGCUUGAUCAAACCAAGAUUCCGCAAUUUCAGAAUCUCCCUGUCGAAUGGCCUGUUCUCCGCGGUCGGAAUAUGUGAGUAAAUUCCUUCCCUUAGAACCGUACUUGAGAGUUUCCUGACUCAUACGGCUCAACAGUCAAUUCUUUUUAUCUUCCAUUUUUUUUCUGGAGUUAAGAACAAGAAAAGAGGUUAAUUACAUGAGUUUCAAACUUGAAUUCGGAUUACAAAUUUAAUCCUUUGUUUUUAGUUUUAUCUUUUUUCCUACCUACCGAAGAAUAAAGUAUCGACAUUAACACUAAUGCUCGUUCUUAUUGAAAUUUUCUGAAAGGUAACUAUCUCGGCACCGUUAACAAACCUAUUCACCUUUAAACUUCUCCUGACGGCAACCAUUUGACCGCCACAGUCAAGACUCAUCUUGGCCAUGACCCUACGUUUUUUAUACCUGUUGUAUUUGAAAGUGAUUUGGCUCGUACAGCUAACUUUCAUCCCAAAAAAAAACCAUACAAACUCUUUUUCGCAUGGCAUGGAAGAAAAAAUAAACAUCAUUAUUAAAACCCUCCAUAUCUGUAGCUGUUCAAGAACUAUUUAAACUAUUAAACUUCAAAGGUAAUCAGAAAUACAUGUACCAGUACAACUACCACUCAAGAAUGAGAGAAAAGUUUUAGCAUCAUCAUUUCAGGCUUCUACACUUCCAAGUUUAAAACGCAAUGUAAUGAAUUCCAUUGAAGGUAUGCCACGGAGACACAAUUUUUUUAUUCAGAAGCUUAAGGAGAAUAUAUUCAUUGUCGGAACACAAAGCUUCCAUGUAUGAGUUUUAGACGCCCUUUGCAUGCAAGAUGAUUAACAAAUUUCCAAUAAUUUUACAUUACAUCCAAGUGUUAUAAUAGACGGUACAUGGGUGAGGGACUUACUAGAGUAGAGCCCUCACCUUAGAAGCCACCUAACAAUUCAUCUAUAAAUUGUGGUCAAAAUAACAAUCCAGAACCCUUGCUAGAGGCGAUUAGAAUACUGAUAGAAUCAGGCACCGAACAGAAACAAACAGAUUGCACAAUACGAAUACUUUAUUGAUGAAUAUAAUUCUGGAGAAUGAUUCAAAACCAGAAGUUUAAACAUAGACAAAUUGCAGAAGUUAUAUAGGAAAUAGUACAGAAUAACAAGACACACAUAGACCAAGAUUUGAGAGCUUGGUUAUCACCCUCCCAAGUGUCUAACACUCACAACUUCAUGAUAAAACUAAACAUAGUUUAAUUUUAGUUACAGCAUUUAGAAUGAUUUAUGUAAGCACCUACUCCUAUAAAUAUUCUUUAUAAGAAGUCUAACAUAUAAAUUUUGGAUGUCCUUCAUCUUAAGCCUCCAACACUUGCUUCUUCUGCCGCUUACUUUUGAUGUUACCUUCAGCAACUUCAGCUUCGCGCUUACGAAUUUCAAUAGCUUCAGCUUUCUGCUUACGAAUUUCAGCUCUCUGAUUUCGAAGUUCAGCGGCUUUCUGCUUACAAACUUCAGCAGCUUCCUCCUUCUGCUUUCGAAGUUCAGCAGCUUUCUGCUUCUGCUUUUGAACUUUAGCAGUUUCCUGCUCUUGAACUUCGGCAGCUUCCGCCUUCUGCUUUCGAGUUUCAGCAGUUUUCUGCUUUCGAUCUGCAGCAGCUUUUUUCUUUCGAUCUGCAGCAGCUUUCUUCUUCUGGUCUCGAGCGUCUAAAGAAGCCAGAAACUUAGUAUAAUUCUGCCUUCGAAAUUCAUCAGUUGACUGCUUUGGAAGUUCAAAAGGAUCAAAAGGAGAUAUCUGCUUUGGAAGUUCAUCAGCUUUGUGCUUAUGGUUUCGAGCUUCGGCAGCUUUCUGCUUACGAACAUCAGCCUUAUAUGCAGCCUCACAAGAAUUGAUUAAGUCCAGCAUUUCCAUCUGCAGGUUUGGAGGUUAAUUAAUAAUAUUAAAGGACUGAAACUAAAAUUAUGAAACUUGAACGAAAAGCAUUCAUUUGUUGGCUUGGCAUUUCGAGAAAAACAGAACUUACAUGGGAUUGUAAUUCAGACUUAGUCCUGGCAUGGUAUUUAACAUCCUUUCGCAUACUCUCAUACGAGAACUCUUCCCUGGUCUUCUUCUGGUUUAGAGAUAAAUUAUUAUAUUAAAAAGUGAAAAAAAUAUAUAUGGAGAAAUUAAGAAACUAAUUAAAAUUGUUUGUUUGAUACAUGUUAUCUCAAAAACAAACUUGCCUCAUUGGGAUAAUCCCAAGGAUGAUGGUAGGGUGUUGUUUUGGGCCAAUUCUUCCUCUUCGAAUAACUCAUCUGGGCUUGUGAGAUGUCAAAGAUUGGGGCUGGUGAAACAACAAAAUAUAAUUUGAUAAUAAGGAUUAUAUAUGAAAAUUGGAGAAAUUAAUUAUUUGAGAGGUUAUGAAAAAUGUCACAGAACAACAUCAAAUCUCCAAUUCAAUCACAGAACAGAUAAAAGCAUUGCAAUUCAUUACUUUGAAUUUGAAAAUAUAUAAAAGUUGGUAUGAAUAAUAAUUUUAAGAAUCAAUCAACUAGAAAGAAAGAUUAAAAAUGAAUGAAUGAAAAAUAGAUACAUACAUACGUUAAGAGUAAAGCAAAAUAGAUUGGAAUGAAUAAAAUUAACAACUAGAAUUGAAAAAGAAAGAGAAAGAAGAUGAAUCAAAAUCAAAAUACAUACAUACAUACAUACAUACCUGCAAGAAUGAAAAUCGGAGAAAGAGAUAAGAUAAUAUAAAUAUGCAACCCGAGAAGAACAAGUGUGUGUGUGUAUAACCGAAAGAGUUAGUUAUUUGGGCUGAAUGAUAUUUCCAAACCCAAGCCCCAACCCAAACCCAAGCCUGAGCCUCUCUCCUGUUCUUUUUGUAAGUGUUUUUCAUUGUUUUCAUGCCUCCCCUUUUUAUCUAUUAUCAUCAUUCAUUACUUAAAUUCAUUCCAUGAGAGAACAAAAACUGUCAUGCAAUGACAUAGAUACCUUGAGAGUGAAGCAACGAAUAUGAAAAUAAGAUUGAAAGAGAUAAGAACGAAAACUGUCAUGCAAUGCAACCCUAGAGAGACAAGUUCAACAAAUUCUUCUCAUUCUACGUAUAAGAAGCUUCAACCCUAGAGAUUACGAAAAAAAACUGUCAUGCAAUGAAAUUACAUAGAUACCUUCAAGCUUCUUCUUCUACAACUUCUUCUCAUUCUAUUUGUACUCAUGAUUUUUCUUUUGCUUUCACAUCACAUAGAAGAUGAGAAUUUCUUUGGCCAUUAUUACUUAAGUUUAACACACUAUUUCUACUUUUCAUUUUACUUGCUAAUUACCCUUAACUAGUCUCAGUUUUUUUCUUCUUUCUGACAGAACCUCAACUGUGUGUUAAGAUAAAGUAAUUUGAAAAUGCAAUUGACAAACAUUGAUCACUUUGGAAAACAACGUUGGUUCACGCUACGCUCAAAUUUGUGUUGCAUUUUAGUGCUUAUUUCCUCAAACCAAACACGGUCUAUCCUACAUCAAAUUGUUUUUCACUAUCAUAUGUAGUGGUUCAGUUUUCCUUGAAAUUCGCUGUGUGCUUUGAGUUUUAAUUUCAUUUUCAUCGAUCAAAACAAUGUCUAUAGUCUAAUUGCUAAAACAAUAAAAAAUAUCCUUGGUGACUAUGUGUAUCCUUUUGAGGCAAUUGGUAAGGAAAGAAAUGUCUCUACAAAGUUGUGUCAAUGUUUUCGAAUAUCGUUGCUAAAAAUAAAAAAUAUAGAUUAGUGCACUCUCCCAAUCAAAUCAAGAAUCCGAAUGGAAAUCAUGGCAUACAACGUUGCUUGUCAAUCCUUAAUGUUCAAGAUAAUCAUGUCAUAUACCGGUUGCUUUGACCUUCUAAUUUCACCAGUCCUAUAUGUUUUUGUGCAUAUUUUAUGAGUAAACUUGCUAUGAUUAAAUAUUUUUGAAAAAUAAAGCCAGCACCCAAAAUCAAAAAUUCCAAAUAAAAAAAAAAAAACACUCAGAAUGGUUUUGGAAACUCAUUGGAAGGGUUUUGGAAAAUGAAUUCGGCAUGGAAAUGUGGCGCUCAUCACACUCAUGGCUACUCCAUAUUCGGUAUAGUCACUUCUAUUAUUCCUCCUCCACCAUGACCACCACUCGCAAAUCCAAAUUCCCAAAACCAAGUGAAAUUUAUUUCAACCCAAACUCACCAACUCUGUCAACAUAAUCGGCACCGUUAACAAACUAUUCACCUCCAAACUUCUCCUGACGGCAACCCUUUCGCCGCCACAGUCAUCACUCAUCUUGGCCAUGAACUUCUCCGUUUUUUCUACCUGUUGUAUUUCAAGGUGAUUUGGCUCAUACAGCUAACUUUCAUCUCAAACUAAGUGAUUUGGUUCUUCCUUGUGUAUUGAUGUGAGGCUACUCACUACUUAUAAAAUUCAUUUGCUGGCAUUUUUAAAUAAUUAAAUGCAAUAAAAGGUAAAUGAAAAAGAGAAUAGAAAAUUAUAAAUAAAAACCAUACAGACUCUUACAUUUUCAUAUUCUAGAACAUAAAAGAUCUAGUCCUCUUUUUUGUUUGGUCUACUAAAUUGAAUUCCACUAAAAAAAAAUGAAGUAAAAGCUGCGCUAUCAAUGGACAAUGAUGAUUUGUCCUUCAUCUUAAGCCUCCAACACGUGCUUCUUCUGCCGCUUACUUCUGAUGAUGCCUUCAGAAACUUCAGCUUCGUGCUUACGAAUUUCAACAGCUUCAGCUUUCUGCUUACGAACUUCAGCUCUCUGCUUUCGAAGUUCAGCGGCUUUCUGCUUACAAACUUCAGCAGCUUCCUGCUUCUUCUUUCGAAGUUCAGCGGCUUCCUGCUUUCGAACUUCAGCGGCUUUCUGCUUCUGUUUUCGAACUUCAGCGGCUUUCUGCUUCUGCUUUCGAACUUCAGCGGCUUCCUGUUUCUGCUCUUGAACUUCAGCAGCUUCCUGUUUCUGCUCUUGAACUUCUGCCUGUUUCUGCUGUCGAGCUUCAGCAACUUUCAGCUUUCGAGCUGCAGCAGCUUUCUGCUUUCGAUCUGCAGCAUCUUUCUGCUUCUGGUCUCGAGCGUCUAAAGAAUCCAGAAAAUCAAAAAAACGCUGCCUUCGAGCUUCAUAAGUUGACUGCUUUGGAAGUUUAAAAGGAUCAAAAGGAGAUAUCUGCUUUGGAAGUUCAGCAGCUUUGUGCUUUGGAAGUUCAUGGCCGGAACACAAAGCUUCCAUAUAUGAGUUUAGACCCCCUUCCCAUGCAAGUCGAUUAACACAUUUCCAAUAAUUUUCCAUUACAUCCAAGUGUUACAAUAGACGGUACAUGGGGGAGGGACUUACUAGAGUAGAUCCCUCACCUUAGAAGCCAGCUAACAAUUCAUCUAUAAAUUGUGGUCAAGAUAAUAAUCCAGAACCCUUGCAAGAUGUGAUUAGAAUACUGAUAGAAUCAGGCAUCGAACAGAAACAAACAGAUUGCACAAUACGAAUACUUUUGAUGACAAUAAUUCUGGAGAAUAAUUCAAAACCAGAAUACUACACAUAGACAAAUUGCAGUAGUCAUAUAGGAAAUAGUACAGAAUAACAAGACACACAUAGACCAAGAUUCGAGAGCUUGAUUCUCUCCCUCCCAAGUGUCUAAUGCUCGCAACUUUAGGAUAAAACUAAUAGUUUAAUUUUAGUCACAGAAUUGAGAAUGAUUUAUUUAAGCACCUACUCCUAUAAAUAUUCUAUAUAAGAAGUCAAACAUAUAGAUUUUGGAUGUCCUUCAUCUUAAGCCUCCAGCACUUACUUCUUCUGCCGCUUACUUUUGAUGUUACCUUCAGCAACUUCAGCUUCACGCUUACGAAUUUCAACAGCUUCGGCUUUCUGCUUACGAGCUUCAGCUCUCUGCUUUCGAAGUUCAGCAGCUUUCUGCUUUCGAAGUUCAACGGCUUCCUGCUUUAGCUUUCGAAGUUCAGCGGCUUCUUGCUUACGGACUUCAGCAGCUACCUGCUUCUGCUUGCGAACUUCAGCGGCUUUCUGCUUCUGCUUUCGAACUUCAGCGGUUUCAUGUUUCUGCUCUUGAACUUCGGCAACUUCCUGCUCAUGAACUUCUGCCUGCUUCUGCUUUCGAGCUUCAUCAGUUUUCAGCUUUCGAUCUGCAGCAGCUUUCUUCUUUCGAUCUGCAGCAGCUUUCUGCUUCUGGUUUCGAGCUUCUAUAGAAGCCAGAAACUUAAAAAAAUUCUGCCUUCGAAAUUCAUCACUUGACUGCUUUGGAAGUUCAAAAGGAUCAAAAGGAGAUAUCUGCUUUGGAAGUUCAGCAGCUUUGUGCUUCUGGUUUCGAGCUUCGGCAGCUUUCUGCUUACGAACAUCAGCCUUAUAUGAAGCCUCACAAGAAUUGAUUAAGUCCAGCAUUUCCAUCUGCAGGUUUGGAGGUUAAUUAAUAAUAUUAAAGGACUGAAACUAAAAUUAUGAAACUUGAACGAAAAGCAUUCAUUUGUUGGCUUGGCAUUUCGAGAAAAACAGAACUUACAUGGGAUUGUAAUUCAGACUUAGUCCUGGCAUGGUAUUUGACAUCCUUUCGCAUACUCUCAUAUGAGAACUCUUCCCUGGUCUUCUUCUGGUUUAGAGAUAAAUAAUUAUAUUAAAAAGUGAAUAAAAUAUAUAUGGAGAAAUUAAGAAACUAAUUAAAAUUGUUUGUUUGAUACAUGUUAUCUCAAAAACAAACUUGCCUCAUUGGGAUAAUCCCAAGGAUGAUGGUAGGGUGUUGUUUUGGGCCAAUUCUUCCUCUUCAAAUGACUCAUCUGGGCUUGUGAGAUGUCAAAGAUACAGAACAGAUUCAAAGGAAAAGACGAGACAUUUAUUAACAACUAUAAUUGAACAACAAUAACAAUAAUCGACAAGAAUUGAAAGAGAAGAAAAAUGAAAAUGCAUACAUAGAGAUUGUGAAAAUCGACUAACUACGAACCCGAGAUUCUAAAAAUCUGCGAACCCUAGAGAGACAAGACGUAUAUAUAUGAUGUAGCACCGUAUUACAUGAGAGAAGAACCAAAAAUGAGGAAUUGAAAUAGUUGGUAAUGUAUAAUAAUAUAAACCCUAACUAACCUUAAUCAUCUAGAAUUGAAAAAAGAAAUAUUAAGAAGAAUGAAAGAAAAAUAGGUACAUACAAACCUUGAGAGUAAAGGAAAGGAACGUACGGUUAUGAAAAAUGUCAUGCAACAAACCCUAGUGAGAGUAAUCUGAUUCAUUAUGGUAAAACAAACAACUUUUGGGUUGCUAUUACUUUUUGCACUCCAAUUUUACUUAUCACACCAUAGCGAUCCCUGCUAUGUUGCGUUUACAUGCAAGAGAAGAAGUUUUCCCUGGUAUUUUCUAAAUUUUUAGUAGUUUUUUUUUUAAUUAUUAAUUAUUAAUCAUCUAAUGUGCCGAGGGGCAAGGAUGACAUGUCACUAAAAUUACCAACUGACCACAAAAUUGGAGUGAGGAAUUAAGGGUCCAAUUUGCUUUAAAAAUUAGGAGGUUAAAAACGUACAAUUGAGAAACUUGGUGACAUUUAUUUUGAAAUUAAUAGAGAUGCAAAAUAGAAAGAACAUUGAGAAGAUAAUAACUUAACAAUAAACUGUAAAUGAUUAGUGUCAUUGACGCUCUCUUUCUGACGCUCACUCUUUUGUAAGGUGAAAUUGAUGUGGGUAGCACAUAUUGGAGCUUCUAUUCGGAUGCAUCAAAAUUGGUGUCGGA
rnacentral:lncRNA from 1 species